rnacentral:rRNA from 1 species
GGCCUAACACAUGCAAGUCGAGGGGCAGCGGAGGUAGCAAUACUUGCCGGCGACCGGCGCACGGGUGCGUAACGCGUAUGCAACCUACCUAUAACUGGGGAAUAGCCUUCUGAAAGGAAGAUUAACACCGCAUAACAUCACGAGACGGCAUCGCCUUGUGAUCAAAUCUCCGGAGGUUAUAGAUGGGCAUGCGUGACAUUAGCUAGUUGGUGAGGUAACGGCUCACCAAGGCGACGAUGUCUAGGGGGUCUGAGAGGAUGAUCCCCCACACUGGUACUGAGACACGGACCAGACUCCUACGGGAGGCAGCAGUAAGGAAUAUUGGACAAUGGGCGCAAGCCUGAUCCAGCCAUGCCGCGUGAAGGAUGACGGCCCUCUGGGUUGUAAACUUCUUUUAUACGGGAAUAAACCCCCUGAUUCUUCAGGGGCUGAAUGUACCGUAAGAAUAAGGAUCGGCUAACUUCGUGCCAGCAGCCGCGGUAAUACGAAGGAUCCAAGCGUUAUCCGGAUUUAUUGGGUUUAAAGGGUGCGUAGGCGGACUAUUAAGUCAGUGGUGAAAGCCUGCAGCUUAACUGCAGAACUGCCAUUGAUACUGAUGGUCUUGAGUACAUUUGAGGUGGGCGGAAUGUGUCAUGUAGUGGUGAAAUACUUAGAUAUGACACAGAACUCCGAUUGCGAAGGCAGCUCACUAAACUGUAACUGACGCUGAGGCACGAAAGCGUGGGGAUCAAACAGGAUUAGAUACCCUGGUAGUCCACGCCCUAAACGAUGAUUACUCGAUGUGUGCGAUACACUGUACGCGUCUAAGCGAAAGCAUUAAGUAAUCCACCUGGGGAGUACGGCCGCAAGGCUGAAACUCAAAGGAAUUGACGGGGGCCCGCACAAGCGGAGGAGCAUGUGGUUUAAUUCGAUGAUACGCGAGGAACCUUACCAGGGCUUGAAAGUUAGGGAAUGAUCUGGAAACAGGUCAGUCAGCAAUGACCCGAAACUAGGUGCUGCAUGGCU